rnacentral:rRNA from 1 species
GAUGAACGCUGGCGGCGUGCCUAAUACAUGCAAGUCGAGCGAACAGAUAAGGAGCUUGCUCCUUUGACGUUAGCGGCGGACGGGUGAGUAACACGUGGGUAACCUACCUAUAAGACUGGGAUAACUUCGGGAAACCGGAGCUAAUACCGGAUAAUAUUUCGAACCGCAUGGUUCGAUAGUGAAAGAUGGUUUUGCUAUCACUUAUCGAUGGACCCGCGCCGUAUUAGCUAGUUGGUAAGGUAACGGCUUACCAAGGCGACGAUACGUAGCCGACCUGAGAGGGUGAUCGGCCACACUGGAACUGAGACACGGUCCAGACUCCUACGGGAGGCAGCAGUAGGGAAUCUUCCGCAAUGGGCGAAAGCCUGACGGAGCAACGCCGCGUGAGUGAUGAAGGUCUUCGGAUCGUAAAACUCUGUUAUUAGGGAAGAACAUACGUGUAAGUAACUGUGCACGUCUUGACGGUACCUAAUCAGAAAGCCACGGCUAACUACGUG